GCAUAGACAAAGCAGCUGGUUCAUCAAAUCGUCUGACUGCAAGAAUUAUAAUCUGUAGCUCAGCCUGGAUUAGAUGAAGUGUUGGCUGACUAGUGGAGCUGCUCAGAGAAGACGGCUGACAUAAAAGCAGUUUAUGCCAUGGUACACUGUUAUGGUUCAAAAAGAUUUCUUUUUGAGGAUUCACAAUCCUUUCCCCAAGUGACCUACACUUUGUCCACUGUGCCAGGACCAGCUCUUAAAGGUUGUCUAGAUGCCUUAAAGAUUCUUUGUGGAGCAUGUGAUAUUUUGAAAAUGGAGUAUAAAGCAUCUAUUAAUGUUGCACAGAAUUAGCUCGGGAAGCAGCUUUACAUUUAUUGACUUUUGGUAUCGUUUUUAAUUUGCAUCUUGCUGCUUGAUGACUCCGCUUGAUGGGUACAGUAUGACAACAGGUAAUAGAUACAAUAACAGUAAAACAGUCAUCAUUACUGCUGGGACUAGAAACCCCCAUCAUUGCUUUUCUUAGCUUUCCUCAGCUGGAAAGUUUUGACAUCUGCUGGUUUGGGACAUAGCUGAACAGCUGUCAGCAGUGGGGUAGCUGCUUUCAGCAGCAGUUGGCGGGAUGGCAGGGUGCCAGCUUGUACCAUCUGUGCGCCUGACAUUUCAUUCUAAUUAACAGUAGGGUUAAUUGUUCUGGCAGGCUCAAAUGUAGUGUCUAACAUUACCCAAGGGAAACAUGUACAAGCGCAGGAGUGGCAGGGAGCUGGGGACAGCGUUGCUAACAAACCUAUUGAGGGAGAAUGGUUAACAACUACUGAUGAUUUUACUAGCUGGCCACAUGCAAUAAGGCUGAGACAUUUUUUUAUUCUGAUGAAUUAUGCCAAGCCUGUAAUGAUGUAGAAGAAAUCAAGCUUUGAAAGGCUGAGACUGCUGCCUUGGGGCAAUUGAGAAGGAACAAUUUGCAUGUUAUUACUGCAUAUUCAUACCUAAUUGUGUUAGGCUUUGCUAAUAGAGCAGAAUGACAGUAUGAAAAAUCGAGCAACUGCUUUAUAGCCAACAAAGCUAGUGUUUUUUCCCUACACUAUGAGUGCUGAAUGAUCAUUUAGACAUUUAGUUGUUCAAUAUGACAAGUCUACCAUUUGUUAGCUUGACAUAUAGUAAUUUAUAAAGGAGUAUUCUAAUUUUACUUUUAGUUUAUUCUCAUUUUAUACAGUAUUCGUGGUAGCAAUUUGAAUAGGGAUAUUCGUAGCUAUUGUGAGUAGUUGUGAUUCAAAUAAAACUAUUUCGUAUGAAAGAUUUCUAUUGUUUUAUGAUGUAUUAAUUUUAAUGUUUAAAUAGCUUUUUCAGAUGUUAAUAUAACAUAAACGAGAAUUUGAUGAGAAAUCUCUAUUACGAUCAUGUUGCUACAUACUGAUUCAGCUAACAUUUUUACAUUCCAACUAAGGCCUCUAUUUCUAGAGAGGUAGGUGUGUGCAGGUUGGUUUUAGAAGUUGUCAAGUAAUACUAUACUAGGUCUAUAGAUUCUAAAUUCAAAAAUAGAUAUAUACUCAAUGUAGGCUCAGCACGUAGGUGUAAAUAUCUCAAAACAUUAAAUAUAAUGUAUUUUUGUCAUAUGUAUUUAUACAACUGUACAAAAAUAGACCUGCCUCUUCAGGAGAAUUGCAUCUCAGUUUUACUGUAAGUCAUUAAUAGUUUACUCUUCCAAAAUUUUAGAAUCUCAUUUGUUAUUCCCUUUUUUCAUACUCUUCCAUAGACAUGACUACUACUCCAGAAAACAUUACCAUAGAUCACAUACACGAAAAUCUUAGUGGUCUCUGAAAAUCUUGACAUUAACUAGUUUAACUUUUAAAAGUACUGAAAAAGUUGAGAGUGAUAACAGACAUGAUAGAAAACUCAUGAAGGAGAGCCAGAAACAAGAUUUUUCAAUAGCUCUUAAGUCAUUUUGGAGUCAUUUUUGAACAUGUAGCAUGCCUAAAUUACACAGUAAACUGAUAGUAAACUUUUCUCAGAGGGAAGUGCUCCUAAUUCAUGAGUGUAUUGGUUAAUCUCAGAAAGAGUAGAUGAGAUUGUCAACACUUGGACACAGCAGAGGGAAGCAGAAGAAUCUGAGGUGGAUUUUCAGUUGUUUGUGUACUUUCUUGGUGUAAAAUUAAAAGAAAAUUGUAAUACGCUGAGUGAAACUUGAGAUUCCAAACUUCUUUUUAUUACUUGGUAAUUGUUGACUGAUGUAUGAAUCUGAUUAAACAAAUGCAACACUUUCUUCAUGGAGGAACAUUGAAGUAUUUCUAUUUGAUUUUGCUUGUAGUCAGUAGAAACAUUUGUGUUCAAAAAAAAUUACUUGAAUAAAUAAGUUAUUCCAACAAUAUUUAUUUUUGUGACUAGUACUGAUAUGUUUCAUGCAAGAUAUUUAAAUACUGCAAUCUGUGCAACUGAACAUAGUCUUCCAGUAGAUCAUGACAUAAUUGAAAUGCCUGCAAUAUGGAUUAUUUACAUAUAUAUAUAUAUAUAUUUGUGAGGGGAUUCUGAUUUGCCAAGAAAUGAGAUGAAAAUUUGAAGUCUGGUGUUGAGCCUCUGAUGUUACAAUUGCAGCAAGGGACAAUGUGACUAUUAUAGCAGGAGUGACUUUAACAAAGUCUCUUGUGAAAAAGGCAUCUCACUGGAUAGAUUUAUAAUUUUUACCUCUUAAAUAAACCAAAUGAACUUAAUGCUUUACUUCCUUUCAGAAACAAACAAACAAAAAAAACCAAACCCAACUGAUUAUAUUUACCUGGAUAAUACAAAGAAUGUCAUUGAAUAUAUAUGAACAUCUUUAACAAAUCAAUAUUCUGAAAAUGACUAGAGCUAAUGUAAUUUAUUAUGCAUGGAAGAAGAUGCUAAAUAUAUUGGCCUUCAGCAGAAAAUAAUAAAAUGGUUUGAUUAGGUUUAAUUUAAUUAUUGUUGUAACUGAAAAUCCUCUAUUCCUGCCUUCUCUGUCCUUCAAAUAAUUCCUCAUGGAAGAAAAGCAGUAAAAAAUUCACUUACCAUAUUGUAAGGAGGUGUGUCACUCAAAACGAUUAUGAGGUCUUGUCCACUCAUUUCCUUGACCCCUUCCCUUUCCCCUUCC